CCUACGGGCGGCAGCAGUGGGGAAUAUUGGACAAUGGGGGCAACCCUGAUCCAGCCAUGCCGCGUGUGUGAAGAAGGCCCUCGGGUUGUAAAGCACUUUCAGUGAGGAAGAACGCCUGGUGGUUAAUACCCAUCAGGAAAGACAUCACUCACAGAAGAAGCACCGGCUAACUCCGUGCCAGCAGCCGCGGUAAUACGGAGGGUGCGAGCGUUAAUCGGAAUUACUGGGCGUAAAGCGCGCGUAGGUGGCUUGAUAAGCCGGUUGUGAAAGCCCCGGGCUCAACCUGGGAACGGCAUCCGGAACUGUCAAGCUAGAGUGCAGGAGAGGAAGGUAGAAUUCCCGGUGUAGCGGUGAAAUGCGUAGAGAUCGGGAGGAAUACCAGUGGCGAAGGCGGCCUUCUGGAUUGACACUGACACUGAGGUGCGAAAGCGUGGGUAGCAAACAGGAUUAGAUACCCUAGUAGUC
rnacentral:rRNA from 1 species